rnacentral:tRNA from 1 species
GAUAAAAUGGCUGAGAAUAGGCGAUAAAUUGUAAAUUUAUUAACGAAUUAGAAAUUCUUUUAUCA